UCUCGACAUUGGCAAACCCGUUGAAAAGCGGGGACGCAAAGCUUCUGGUCUACUGGCCUGGCGCCUAUGACAGCAGAGCUGCACAG
rnacentral:ncRNA from 1 species